AGAAUCUAUCUCUGGCAAGGGCAAAAGCGAUAGGCCAGGUUAACGAGGAAAGGGGGACUGGUUCAACCUCAGGAAUGAGAGCAAGCAAGUCCAGCUUUGUUGUGCAAGUCACUGUCUUUAUCCGAUCUGAUAAGAUAGAUCUGAUGCACAUAUAGUAAAGAAAAGCUCUUCCGCAAGCCAUUUGGGGAAAUUCCCUAACUUUGAACGAAAGAAUGGUAAGCUUCUUUCCUUGUUACUUGAAAGAAUGCCUUGGCACACUCAUACUAGAAGUCAAAGAAAGAACUUGGGUCUAAGCUCUCAACUUCAAGGAAGGGAACCGAAAUAGCAGAAAUGUCAUCUACCUUUCCAA
rnacentral:lncRNA from 1 species